rnacentral:rRNA from 1 species
UGGAUUAAGAGCUUGCUCUUAUGAAGUUAGCGGCGGACGGGUGAGUAACACGUGGGUAACCUGCCCAUAAGACUGGGAUAACUCCGGGAAACCGGGGCUAAUACCGGAUAACAUUUUGAACUGCAUGGUUCGAAAUUGAAAGGCGGCUUCGGCUGUCACUUAUGGAUGGACCCGCGUCGCAUUAGCUAGUUGGUGAGGUAACGGCUCACCAAGGCAACGAUGCGUAGCCGACCUGAGAGGGUGAUCGGCCACACUGGGACUGAGACACGGCCCAGACUCCUACGGGAGGCAGCAGUAGGGAAUCUUCCGCAAUGGACGAAAGUCUGACGGAGCAACGCCGCGUGAGUGAUGAAGGCUUUCGGGUCGUAAAACUCUGUUGUUAGGGAAGAACAAGUGCUAGUUGAAUAAGCUGGCACCUUGACGGUACCUAACCAGAAAGCCACGGCUAACUACGUGCCAGCAGCCGCGGUAAUACGUAGGUGGCAAGCGUUAUCCGGAAUUAUUGGGCGUAAAGCGCGCGCAGGUGGUUUCUUAAGUCUGAUGUGAAAGCCCACGGCUCAACCGUGGAGGGUCAUUGGAAACUGGGAGACUUGAGUGCAGAAGAGGAAAGUGGAAUUCCAUGUGUAGCGGUGAAAUGCGUAGAGAUAUGGAGGAACACCAGUGGCGAA